rnacentral:misc_RNA from 1 species
UUUCCGUAGGUGAACCUGCGGAAGGAUCAUUCAUAAUAAGUGUUUUAUGGCACUUUUUUAAAUCCAUAUCCACCUUGUGUGCAAUGUCAGGGUUGGUCUCUUUUUGAUCAGCCCCAAACAUCGACUAUUAUCUCAACUCUUUGUCUGAAAAAUAUUAUGAAUAAAACAAUUCAAAAUACAACUUUCAACAACGGAUCUCUUGGCUCUC